rnacentral:rRNA from 1 species
CAGUAGCCGCGGUAAUACGAAGGGGGCUAGCGUUGUUCGGAAUUACUGGGCGUAAAGGGCGCGUAGGCGGCCAUUCAAGUUAGAUGUGAAAGCCCUGGGCUCAACCUAGGAAUUGCAUUUGAUACUGUUUGGCUUGAGUUCGGGAGAGGUGAGUGGAAUUCCCAGUGUAGAGGUGAAAUGCGUAGAUAUCGGAAGGAACACCUGUGGCGAAAGCGGCUCACUGGACCAUUUCUGACGCUGAUGCACGAAAGCUAGGGGAGCAAACAGGAUUAGAGACCCCCGUAGUCCCUGUCUCUUAUAC